ACGGGAGGCAGCAGUGGGGGAUAUUGCGCAAUGGGGGAAACCCUGACGCAGCAACGCCGCGUGUGGGAAGAAGGUCUUCGGAUUGUAAACCAUUGUCUUCGGUGACGAUAAUGACGGUAGCCGAGGAGGAAGCUCCGGCUAACUACGUGCCAGCAGCCGCGGUAAUACGUAGGGAGCGAGCGUUAUCCGGAUUUACUGGGUGUAAAGGGUGCGUAGGCGGGACUGUAAGUCAGGCGUGAAAUCUAUCGGCUUAACCGGUAAACUGCGCUUGAAACUAUAGUUCUUGAGUGAAGUAGAGGUAAGCGGAAUUCCGAGUGUAGCGGUGAAAUGCGUAGAUAUUCGGAGGAACACCAGUGGCGAAGGCGGCUUACUGGGCUCUAACUGACGCUGAGGCACGAAAGUGUGGGUAGCAAACAGGAUUAGAUACCCUGGUA
rnacentral:rRNA from 1 species